rnacentral:tRNA from 1 species
CAAUAGCUCAGUGGAAGAGCUUCCGUUUUGCAUGCAGGAGGUCCUGGGUUCAAUCCUCAUUAGGUAGG